rnacentral:rRNA from 1 species
UACAGAGGUCCCAAGCGUUGUUCGGAUUCAUUGGGCGUAAAGGGUGCGUAGGUGGCGUCGUAAGUCGGGUGUGAAAUCUCGGGGCUUAACUCCGAAACUGCAUUCGAUACUGCGGUGCUUGAGGACUGGAGAGGAGACUGGAAUUUACGGUGUAGCAGUGAAAUGCGUAGAGAUCGUAAGGAAGACCAGUGGCGAAGGCGGGUCUCUGGACAGUUACUGACACUGAGGCACGAAGGCCAGGGGAGCAAACGGG